rnacentral:rRNA from 1 species
AUUGAACGCUGGCGGCAUGCUUUACACAUGCAAGUCGAACGGUAACAGGCCGCAAGGUGCUGACGAGUGGCGAACGGGUGCGUAAUGCAUCGGAACGUGCCCAGUCGUGGGGGAUAACUACUCGAAAGAGUAGCUAAUACCGCAUACGAUCUAUGGAUGACAGCGGGGGACCGUAAGGCCUCGCGCGAUUGGAGCGGCCGAUGUCAGAUUAGGUAGUUGGUGGGGUAAAGGCUCACCAAGCCAACGAUCUGUAGCUGGUCUGAGAGGACGACCAGCCACACUGGGACUGAGACACGGCCCAGACUCCUACGGGAGGCAGCAGUGGGGAAUUUUGGACAAUGGGCGCAAGCCUGAUCCAGCAAUGCCGCGUGCAGGAAGAAGGCCUUCGGGUUGUAAACUGCUUUUGUACGGAACGAAACGGCUCUGGUUAAUACCCGGGGCUAAUGACGGUACCGUAAGAAUAAGCACCGGCUAACUACGUG